UCCAGGGGCGGGAAUCGAACCCACAACCUUCUGCUUACCGGGCAGGUGCCAUGUCCACUAGGCUACGUCCAGG